UCAAGUCCUGAGCUCUGCUCUGCCGCCUGCUGGUGCCUUGUAAAGGUAUACUCGUUACAGGCCCUAGAGGUUCUAAUGGUCCAGGGUUAAGUGAGAGGAGAC